UAGACGAUUUAUUAGUGAACAAGGAAAAACAUUAUCAGGACGUGUGAAAAGAUUGACCUUGAAACAACAACGAUUAAUUACUCUUGCUAUAAAACAAGCCCGUAUUUUAUCUUUGUUACCUUUUCUCAAUAAUGAGAAACAAUUUGAAAGAACCGAGUCGACCACUAGAACUACUUGUUUUAAAGCCCGAAAUAAAUAGGCUUACUUUUUCAUUACUUGAAUCAUAAUUACUCAAAUCUAGAUUCGCUCAAAUCUAGAUUUAAGUAUCGUGUCGUAAGAAACAAAUAAAUAGGAAAAAACGAAAUCUGUUUUUAUUGAAUUGACUGUGUUCAUUCAUUUUGACUACUUUAGCAUAUUUUCUCAUACUAAUUCCUAUCCCGAUGAACCGAAACUAAAGAUCUUAUUUUCUGUUGAGUAAUAGUUCUACUAAGCCUUGAAUGAGCCCCUCGAAAGCUUAAUGCAAAUAAAUGAAUUUUUGUUCUACGUCUCCGAGCAAUAUAUCCCCGUUUAAUUCUGGUCAUUGAAUAAAUGAAACUUUGACGAAUAACUAAUUGAUUACCUUUCUUUCAGUUAUUCUUUCCCCCCUUCCUAGUCUAUUAAUAACAAAACGGAUUUUUCCAAUGUAUAAAAUAAAAAUUCCAAUGGCUUUGGCUACUCUAACCUUCCCGACCACGAUUUUGUUAUUUUUUUUUUUUUUAGGUAUUUCACUGCGAAAUAAGAAAGAAAUAAGAAAUUGUAUUUUCCUAGGUAUCAAAAAUAUAGUAAAUAAAAGAAAUAAAAAAAGAAAUAGUGGGUUCCUUCGUUUCUAUGGUUACUUCUUAAACGGUGAGGUCUUCUCUAUACACCGGAGCCUUUACUUUAGACUUUAAUUUAAUAUAUAUUUAAUCAACUAAUUGAUGUUAUUGGGAACUUGUAUAGUUCACACGCUUUGGCUCUACCCAUGAAUUAUCCAGUAAUAGGUCUUUCACAAUCAGAUCUACCUAUACAGUAACAGUAUUUAAUUAUUAAAGUUUGCUGGGUAGCUGACCCUAUUAGUCCGUUCUUGCCAGAUUGGGAGCCUAACUAAUCUUUAUUUUUUAUUCUUUUAAAAUAAAAUUUCCUCCACUUAAUGGAUGACCACUUUUUACCAAUGGAUAAUUUCUUAUUAUCUUAAAUUCAAGUGAUUGGAUUUACACCAACGGAAACCAUAAACUUCAUACACAAUAGAGGGAUAUGAUAGAGUUUUUUUUUAAUAAUGAAUGGAGUUCAUUUUUCCAUCCUAUCCCAUUCACCGGUACUGAUCAUUGAUACUGUAAAAGUUAUUUUCUUUCUUUUGUGCCAGCUCAUGAUCUAAACAAGUCAUACAUACACUCGAGUACAUGUUCCUCGACGUUGAGGGCACCCCCGAAGAGCGGGGGAUUUCGUGACAUUUCUGAUUGGCUGUCUUGUAUUUCUAAUAAGUUGUUUAAUAGUUACAAUAUUGAAUUGUAUACAUAAUAUGAUGGGUUGUUUUAGAUUGAUCCUAACCGAAUGAUGAUGAAUUACUUCUAUUUAAUAGAAUAUUCAAUUCGAAGAUAAAAUCUCAAAUCUAUUAUUUGCGCAAAAUCCAUGUUAUUUUCAUUGAACCGCUACAAGAUCAACAAUUCCAUAAGCUUGUGCUUCUGUUACUGACAUAAAAAUAUCUCUUUCCAUAUCUUCGGAUACAACCUAGAAGGUUUUGCCCAUUCGUUGUAAAUAAACCGUUGUGAGGGUUUCACACAGUUUCAGCAGUUCUUCCGCUUCCACAACACAUUCGGUUACUUGUGCCAUAUAAAAACCACUAGAAGGUUGAUGCGUCAUUACCCUUAUGAUAUAACAAAAUAAAAGCUUCUCCUAUCUCGCAUGAUAAAGCAAAGAGCAAAGAAAGAUAAAGAAUAGAAAAAAGAUAGAAUUGAACAAUCGUACAAGCAUCUUUUGUGCAUACGGCUCUAAAAGAAAAUUGACCCCCCUCCUUUCUAUUAAAGAAAGAGAAAAAUAGAAUCUAUCAUACUCGAAUGGGUAAAUAAUCAAAUUGCCAUCCUUCCUUUUGGAGGAUUUAAAAAUUACUAUGAUGGCGCCGUUGCUUUAUAUGCUUCUUUUUUCUUUUUUUUUUGUCUGUGAUUCAGCAAUCCCAAAGUUUCUUUUUAAUCCGAUCAAAUAAGGAAAAAAUAUUUUUUUCGAACUCUUUAAUAACAUAAAUAUUGUUAAGAACUCUAUGGUAUGAAAAUAAAAAAGUUUGUGACACUGAACCGAACACCCGAUAGAUAAGAGAAAAUUGAAAAUACCCCUUAUCUCAUACUACUCUCUUGAUACAGAAUCUAAUGUUUUGAAAAAAAAAAAACAAUACAAAAAUUUCUCAUAUCAAAUUCUAAGUGCCAUGCUAUUAUUACUUAGUAUUCAUAUGGCGAAGGCAUAGUCUUCUUUUUCCUCUCAAAUAAAAAUCUCAUUGGCACCAAGCAUGGGGGAAUGCUAGAUGUUUGGUAAUUUCUCCUCCGACAAGGAUAAAAGAUCCCAUUGAAGCGGCUAAUCCCAUGCAUACUAUAUUGACAUCUGGUCGCACAAAUUUCAUAGUAUCAUAAAUAGCCACCCCAGGUAUUACCUAGCCCCUAGGAGUGUUUAUAAAUAAAUAUAGCUCUUUGGUCUCAUCCUCGAUACUGAGAUAUACCAUAAGACCAAUAAGUUGAUUCGAAAUCUCACUAUUAAUACAUUGGCCUAAAAAAGUAAUCUUUCUCGAUAAAGUCAGUUGAUUAGGGUAAAAUUGUAUUCCUUAGGAACUGUACAUGCACCUUUUGAUGCAUACGGUUCAAAAAAUUAUGAAUCAAUGUAUAGAUUCCAGUCCUCUUUCUUUUUUUUAGAAAGGUUAUUUCUUACUUCUAACGAAAGGGUUUUUCUUCAAUUUUUCAAUAAAGAGGAGUUUUGACUCCUUUUUUAUAUUUCUAUUUUCAAUUUUCCAGUAUAAAAUUAGAAGUUAUAAGAAAGGGUCAUUAAACUUAUCGAAUUAACUUCUCAUUGAUGUAUUCUUUCAUCGAGAUUUAAUCCAAACCGCGAUGGUAUUUUCUUGUUCCUGAAUGGGUCUGUUUCAUCUUUUUAGGUUUAUGCUCUACUCCGGGUAAAGAUCCGCCCGAUUUGGAUUUGUACAUAUAGGACAAAUGCUCCCAUUACCAUUUCUUUUUGUAUUUCUUUUUUUUUUUUCAAUUCAUUUUAUACAAGUAUUUAUUAGAGUUGAGAUAACUUUGCUUGACAAUUAGGAUCUCUUUACAAAUUACAAAGAAAAAAUAUGAAUAGCAAUCAUAGAUAUCUUACCAAUCCAAUUGGGUUUUUUCUAAACGGAGCCUGGAUACUUCAUUUUUUUAGUCCAACCAAGCCAACCAUAAAUUAUUCUAAUUGAUAAUAGUAAUAUGAAUCCCCUCAAAAAUGGAUCUAAUUGCACUUCACGCUCCAAAUUUUUGAUGAUUCAAUUUAUCGUUUUAUCGUUCUUGGGCGAAACGGGGGAUAUCUCGAUCGGGGGAGAGAACGGGGAAAUACCAUAUGACCCAAUAUAUCUGACAAGUCGCACUAUACGUCAACCCAAAGUGGAUUUGCCUCUCCAGGACCUCGGAAGGGAACUUUCGGAACACCAAUCGGCAUUAAAUGAAAGAAAGAAUUCAAUACUAUAUUUCACUUUAAGGUGGAAACAUAACAAUUUUUUUAUUGUCUUUAGAAUAUUCAUAUUGGUUCUUAUCGUAUUUAUUUUAUCCAUAGAUUCUAAAAAUUCAUAAAGAAAGACAAAAUGAAUAAACUCAAAUUAUUACGAAUAGGUCUUUCUAAUAAUAAAUAAGUAUGGACUCAUUCGCUCAUAGAAAAUGAGAUCAAUUCCCCUAUUGCGUAUUGGUACUUAUCGAGUAUAGAAAAAAUCUUCUUCUCUUUGUUCCUACGAAUAGAAUUGUUCCAUUAUUACCACCAGAAUAGAACACCCUUGAUUUGGAAAUAAUCGACUGAACAAGAGUGGUCUACAGGAUAGUCAUAUUAUAGUCUUUUCCACUACAAUAAAGCUAUGUAGUGUCCAUUUAUCUUUAAUAUAAAGGGUAUUUCCAUGGAUUUGCUUUGGUAUCGUGUUCAUACCGUUGUAUUGAAUGAUCCCGGCCGGUUUCAUUUUUUUCAUAUAAUGGAUACAGCUCUGGUUGCUGGUUGGGCUGGUUUGAUGGCUCUGUAUGAAUUAGCGGUUUUUGAUCCUUUUGAUCCUGUUCUUGAUCCAAUGUGGAGAUAGGGUAUGUUCGUUAUACCCUUCAUGAUUAAUUUAGGAAUAACCAAUUCAUGGGGCAGUUGGAGUAUCAUAGGGGGGACUAUAAAGAAUCCGGGUAUUUGGAGUUAUGAAGGUGUAGCGGGCGCACAUAUUGUGUUUUUUGGAUUAUGCUUUUUGAAAGCUAUCUGGCAUUGGUUGUAUUGAGAUCUAGAAAUAUUUUGUGAUGAACGUAUAGAAAACCCUCUUUGGAUUUGCCAAAGAUCUUUGAAAUUCAUUUAUUCCUCUCAGGGGUAGCUUGCUUUGGUUUUGGUGCAUUUUAUGAAACAGACUUGUAUGGUCCCAGAAUAUAGGUAUCUGAUCCUUAUGGACUAAUGGGAAAAGUACAACCUGUAAAUCUAGCAUGGGGCGUGAAAGGUUUUGAUCCUUUUGUUUCAGGAAGAAUAGCCUCUCAUCAUAUUGUAGCAGAAACAUUGGGCAUAUUAGCGGGCCUAUUCCAUCUUAGCGUCCAUCCACCACAACAUCUAUACAAAGGAUUGCAAUUGGUAAAUAUUAAAAUCGUCCUUUGUAGUAGUAUUGUUGUUGUCUUUUUUGUAGAUUUUGUUAUUGCCAGAACUAUGUGGUAUGAUUCGGCAACUACUCCGAUUGAAUUAUUUGGGCCCACUCAUUAUCAAUGGGAUCAAGGGUACUUCCAACAAGAAAUAUAUCGAAGAGUUAGUGCUGGGCUAGCAGAAAAUCAAAGUUUAUCAGAAGCCUGGUCUAAAAUUCUUGAAAAAUUAGCUUUUUAUGAUUAUAGCGGCAAUAAUCCGGCAAAAGGAGGAUUAUUUAGAGCAGGUUGAAUAGAUAAGGGGGAUGGAAUAACGGUUGGAUGGAUAUGACACCCUAUCUUUAGAGAUAAAGAAGGGUGUGAAAUUUUUGUACGUCGUAUGCCUACUUUUUUUGAAACAUUUCCAGUCGUUUUAGUAGACGGCGAUGGAAUUAUUAGGGCCGAUGUUCCUUUUAGAAGGGCAGAAUCGAAGUAUAGUGUUGACCAAGUAGGUGUAACUGUUGAGCUCUACAGCGGUGAACUCAACGAUGUCAGUUAUAGUGAUCCUGCUACUGUGAAAAAAUAUGCUAGACGUGCUCAAUUGGGUGAAAUUUUUGAAUUAGAUCGUGCGACUUUUAAAUCCGAUGGUGUUUUUUGUAGCAGUCCAAGGGGUUGGUUUACUUUUUGGCAUGCUUCAUUUGCUUUGUUCUUCUUCUUCGGACAUAUUUGGCAUGGUGCUAGAACCUUGUUCAGAGAUGUUUUUACUGGUAUUGACCCAGAUUUAGAUGCUCAAGUCGAAUUUAGGGCUUUCCAAAAACUUGGAGAUCCAACUACAAAAAGACAGGCAGCCUAAUACAACAUUGCUUUGGUAUCUUUCUUUUUCCCUUAUUCUCUUUCUUUUACUUUUAUUGACAUAGGGUAGUAGAGAAAUCUUUAUUUGAAUUAACUUCAUUUUUACUAUUGGUCGUUCUUUAUCUGGAAUAUGACAUAAAAAAGAAAAUAAAAAGAAACAAACAGGUAUGAAAGCUAUAAUUGUAAACCACGAUUGAAUGUAUGGAAGCAUUGGUUUAUACAUUCCUCUUAGUCUCAACUCUAGGGAUAAUUUUUUUUGCUAUCUUUUUUAGAGAACCGCCUAAGGUUCCAACUAAAAAGAACUAAAAAGGUGAAAUAAUUUUUCAUUAUCUCUGUUGAAGUACUGACCCUCCCGAUAUCGAGAGGCUCAGUACUUCAACUAGUUUUUAUGUUCCUCAAAUAGAUCUCUUAGUUGUUGAGAAGGUUGCCUAAAAGCAGUAUAUAAGGCGUACCCAGUAAAACUUACAAGUAAACCAGAUAUAAAGAUGGCGACUAGGGUUGCUGUUUCCAUUCUUAUCAUAUAUAUAAAAUUUCAAGACCCUAAUGGAUCUAUGAUAGGAUCGUUUAUUUACAACGGAAUGGUAUACAAAGUCAACCGAUCUCAAUGAAUAAAAUAGGAUUUAUGGCUACACAAACUGUUGAGAACAGCUCUAAAUCUUGUCCAAGACAAACUGUAUUAGGAGAUUUAUUAAAACCAUUGAAUUCGGAAUAUGGUAAAGUAGCUCCUGGGUGGGGAACUCUUCCUUUGAUAGGUGUCGCAAUGGCCUUAUUUGCGGUAUUUUUAUCUAUUAUUUUGGAGAUUUAUAAUUCUUCCAUUUUAUUGGAUGGAAUUUCAAUGAAUUAGAUCUAUAAGAACCGCGAAGUCCUUACUUUUGAGUCCAAAAUGAAUCAUUUAGAGCUCCAAUUUAUAGUACAUUCUAUUUUGUUUUGGUAGUUCGAUCGUGGAAUUUCUUUGUUUCUGUAUUUCCGGAGUAUGAGUGUGUGACUUGUUAUAAUUGAUCCUAUUGAUAGUACAGAGAAUGAGUCUGUCAUCUUGAUAGAGAUGAUUCUACUUCGUCAGAUAUUUAUUCUAAUAUUUGGAACACGAAAUAGAUUAAGAAAUAUUUGAACUAUGAUUCAUACUUAAUAUUCAGACCCCGUGUCCGGGCUCCAAAAAAUUUUCAAACAAAGAAUUCGAAUUUCUAAAUCGAAAGAUUCUUUUCUUUCAACCCCUAAUUUAUAUUUUGACCAAAAGCAAAACCUUUCUUUGAAUUUUUAGUCAUUCUAUUUAUUCAGGGAAUAAGUGAUGAUCCGAGGAUUCUUACUCAGAGAAUCCUUGAUUUGAUUUAGGUUAGGUUUUUUUUAUUGAAUCAUCGUGGUUCUAGUAUGAAUCUGAGGUUUUAAUCGAUUCAUAGGGUCUUAACAAGAGAAUUCCUAUCAAUAAUAAAGAAAACAAAGAAUAAAAGACAUAUUCCACAAAAACAAAUUCUAGAAAGAAAUAGGGAAAAAGAGAAUUCAAGAGGCCCAUAAGUAUCAAAAUAAAGAUAAAGACGACUGCGCCAACUUGAUAUUUUGGUAUUAUCGCCACAAAGAAGAGCUUUCGGAUUUUCCAGAGAAGAUGGGAUCAGAACUUAAUAACUUUAAAACUUUCUAUUCCAUAUCCGUUACAACUAGUAUUUGGGUGUUUUUGCUUGAGCUGUACGAGAUGAAAGUCUCAUAUACGGUUCUCAGGGGGGGAGUUCCGCCUAUCUCAAUAAAGUAUAUGAUUGGUUCGAAGAACGUCUCGAGAUUCAAGCAAUUGCGAAUGAUAUAACUAGUAAAUACGUUCCCCCCUAUGUCAAUAUAUUUUAUUGUUUAGGGGGAAUUACACUUACUUGUUUUUUAGUACAAGUAGCUAUUGGGUUUGCUAUGAAUUUUUACUACCGGCCGACCGUUACUGAGGCUUUUUCUUCUGUUCAAUACAUAAUGACUGAAGCCAACUUUGGUUGGUUAAUCUGAUCAGUUCAUCGAUGGUCGGCAAGUAUGAUGGUCCUAAUGAUGAUCCUGCAUGUAUUUCGUGUGUAUCUCACCGGCGGAUUUAAAAAACCUCGCGAAUUGACUUGGGUUACAGGUGUGGUUCUGGCUGUAUUAACCGCAUCUUUUGGCGUAACUGGUUAUUCCUUACCUCGGGACCAAAUUGGUUAUUGGGCAGUGAAAAUAGAAAUAGGUAUCCCUGAUGCUAUUCCUGUAAUAGGAUCACCGUUGGUCGAAUUAUUACGCGGAAGCGCUAGUGUGGCACAAUUUACUUUGACUCAUUUUUAUAGUUUACACAAUUUUGUAUUGCCACUUCUUACUGCCGUAUAUAUGUUAAUGCACUUUCCAAUGAUACGUAAAUAGGGUAUUUCUGGGCCUUUAUAGAUAGAGCAAAAAAAAUAUAUCCUAAAUAUUUGUAAUCAAUCAUUGUAUCAGUUGGUGUUGAAAAUAAUAAGACAUAGAUUUGGAUAUUUCCCUUUAACUAUUCAUGUCAACUAAACGGGGGGAUUGAAGGGAAUUUUGUGAAGAGAAAAUGGAUUAUGGGAGAGUGUGACUUGAAUUAUUGAUUGGUCUGUGUAGAUAUAUGCCUGCGACAUGGGAAUUCACAACCAAAUGUGUCUUUGUUCCAAUCGCCAUGUAAGCCCUAUACAGAGGAUAGGCUGGUUCGCUUAAAGGGAAUCUUUUCUAUGAUCAGGUCCGAAUCAUGUUGUACAUGAGCAGGCUUUGUAAGGUCCAGUAUAAGUGAACUAGAUAAAACGGAAUCAAGAUUCCAUUUUAUGUAGUUCACUUAUAAGAUUUAAUAGAAUAUAAAUGUAUUCAUUUCCUCUACAUUGACACGAUCAAUACUACUAUCGGAGGGAAACAAGGGAUCUAAAGAAGAAGAAAGGCUAGACUAUAUUAGUAACAAGCAAACCUUGUAUGUGUAUCUCCAAGCAUUUUGGAGAUAAAUACCAAUUAGAAGGUCUAAGACGACCUAGAAAGCACUUGAUCAUAUCAUGAUCUGAUUUGUAAGCCUACUCGGGUCUUGAGUAUUUACUUGUAAGAACGGAAUUCUUUGUUUUGUAAUGGAUAGUUGCAAUUCCAUAAAAAAGAAUUCAGUCAAAUUUUUCUUACAUUGAACCAUUCCUCUAUCAUAUAUGUGGAUGUGUAAAGACAGGUACCAUAUAUAUAUUUUAUAUGGAUAUAUGGAUUCAUUUGGUUCUUUUUAUUCUUGCUCGAGCUGGAUGAUUAAAAAUUAUCAUGUCCAGUUCCCUCGGGGGAUGGAUCUAUAAGAAUUCACCUAUCCCAAUAACAAAAAAACCUGACUUGAAUGAUCCUGUAUUAAGAGCUAAAUUGGCUAAAGGUAUGGGUCAUAAUUAUUAUGGAGAGCCCGCAUGGCCCAAUGAUCAUUUAUAUAUUUUUCCAGUAGUAAUUCUAGGUACUAUUGCAUGUAAUGUAGGCUUACCUGGUUUAGAACCAUCAAUGAUUGGUGAAUCGGCAGAUCCAUUUGCAACCCCUUUGGAAAUCUUACCUAAAUGGUAUUUCUUUCCUAUAUUUUAAAUACUUCGUACAGUGCCCCGUAAAUUGUUGGGGGUUCUUUUGAUGGUUUUAGUACCUGUGGGAUUAUUAACAGUACCUUUUUUAGAGAAUGUUAAUAAUAAUGUUCAAUUUUCAUAAGCGACAUCCAGUAGCGACGACUGUCUUUUUGAUUGGUACCGCAGUCUCCCUUUGGUUAGGCAUUGGUGCAACAUUACCUAUUGAUAAAUCCCUAACUUUAGGUAUUUUUUAAAUCUUUUAUUUUUAAUUGAUUCAAUUGUGAAAUAACAUAACAUGUGUAUCUAGGGAAUAGUUUCUUCAAAGCACAUUCUCCCUAGAUACAUCUAGUCAAUUUAAUUCUGAAUUUAUUUCUAAUAUAUGAUAUAUAAAUUGUGCUAAAGAUUUCAAUCUAUUUUGACUAAAUAAUUCCAAUAGAUUUAAAACUUAUUUUUUGCUAAAUCAAUUACGAAAUAUUUUUCUAAAGUGCCCAAUAUCUGUUUUAUAUCUUCACUACAAAAAUGUUCAAUUUUCAUAAGAUCUUCUUGGUUGUUAUUCAAAAGAUCCAAUAAUGUAUAUAUAUUGGACAUUUUGAGGAAAUUAUAGAUCUGGAAGGCAAUUCUGAUUGGUCAAUAAAAAUCAAUUUCAAUGCUAUUUUUUUUUUGUUUUUUAUGAGUUUAGCCAAUUUAUCAUGAAAGGUAAAAGGGGAUAAAGGAACCGUGUGUUGAUUGUCCUGUAAAUAUAAAUUGUCUUCCUCCAUAUGUAAAAAAGGAAUAAAUAAAUCAAUUAAAUUUCGGGAUGCUUCAUAAAGUGCUUCUUUCGGAGUUAAACUUCCGUUUGUCCAUAUUUUGAUAAAAAGUAUCUCUUGUUUUUCAUUUCCAUUCCCAUAAGAAUGAAUACUAUGAUACGCGUUUUGAACAGGCAUGAAUACAACAUCUAUAGAAUAAAUUCCAUCUUGAAAAUUAUGUGGCAUUUUUAUAAGAUAUCCCCGAUUUCUCUCUAUUUGUAAUCCAAUACAAAAAUCAAUUGGUUCUGUUAAACUAGCUAUAUGUUGUGUAUUAUCAACGAUUUCUACAUAAGGCGGCAAGAUGAUAUCUUGAGGAGUUACAUAUCCAGGACCCUUGAAACAAAUAGACGCGUCAGAAGUUCUAUAUAGAUUACUUCUCAAUACAAUUUCUUUUAAAUUCAUUAAAAUUUCAUGUACCGAUUCUUGAAUGCCCGUUAUGGUAGAAUAUUCAUGUGGGACUUUCUCAGAUUUUAUACGUGUGAUACAUGUUCUUUCAAUUUCUUCAAGUAAAGCUCUUCGCAUCGCAAUGCCUAUUGUGUCGGCUUGGCCAUUCAUAAGUGGAGACAGAAUAAAGCAUCCAUAAUAAAGGCAUUUACUGUCUGUUCUUGAUUCAACACACUUCCACUGUAGUGUCUGAGUAGAUACUGUUACUUUUACUCGAACCAUAGUACAAUUAUUUGAUUAGAUCAUCGAAUCGUUUAUUUCUCUUGAAAUUUCUUCAAUGUUUAGCUCUACACACUUCUUUUUUUCAGAGGUCUACAACCAUUAUGUGGCAUAGGAGUUACAUCCCAUACGAAAUUUAAUAGUAUACCACUUCGACGAAUAGCUCGUAAUGCUGCAUCUCUUCCGAGACCGGGACCUUUUAUCAUGACUUCUGCUUGUUGCAUACCUUGAUCCACUAUGGUACGGAUAGAGUUUGUUGCUGCGGUUUGAGUAGCAAACGGUGUUCCUCUUCUCGUACCUUUGAAUCCAGAAGUGCCAGCGGAGGACCAAGAAACUACUCGACCCCGUACAUCUGUAACAGUGACAAUGAUAUUAUUGAAACUUGCUUGAAUAUGAAUAACUCCCUUUGGUAUUCUAUGUGCACCCUUACGUGAACCAAUACGUCCAUUCCUAUGCGAACUAAUUUUUGGUAUAGCUUUUGCCAUAUUUUAUCAUCUUGUAAAUAUGAGUCAAAGAUAUAUGGAUAUAUCCAUUUCAUGUCAAAACAGAUUCUUUAUUUUUACAUCGGCUUUUUUGGCAAGUCUGAUUAUCCCUGUCUUUGUUUAUGUCUCGGGUUGGAACAAAUUACUAUAAUUCGUCCCCGCCUGCGAAUUAGUCGACAUUUUUCACAAAUUUUACGAACGGAAGCUCUUAUUUUCAUAUUUUUCAUUCCUUACCUUAAUUCUUAAUCUAUUUCUUGGAAGAAAAAAUGUUUUUCGAAACUUUUCAUCUCAAAUUGUAUUCCCCUGAAAGGAAAGGUGAAGUUGAAAACCUAAUCCUUUAAAUCUUUGUUGUGCAGUCGAUAAAUUAUACGCCCUUUGGUUGAAUCAUAAGGACUUACUUCAAUUUUUACUCUAUCUCUUGGCAAUAUCCGUAUAAAACUAUGUCGGAUCUUUCCUAAAACUGAAUUGAGAAUCAGAUCUAAACGAAUCGGGAAUAGACCGUUGGGAAGCGAUUCAGUAAUUAAAGCUUUAUGACUCCAUUUUGGUUCUUAAAAUUCCCUUGAGGUAUAAACUAAUUAGAAAGAUAUUAGACAACCCCCCUUUUUCUUUUUCACAAAUUUAACAAAUAGGAAGUUUCGAAUCCAAUUUUGAUAUUAUAAAGGAUUACCAGAUAUAACACAAAAUUUCUCCACCUAUUCCUUCUAGUCGAGCCUCUCGGUCUGUCAUUAUACCUCGAGAAGUAGAAAGAAUUACAAUACCCAUUCCACCUAAAAUUCUCGGAAUUCGUUGAUAAUUAGAAUAGAUUCGUAGACCAGGUCGACUUAUUCGUUUUAAAUUUAAAAUAUUUCUAUAGGGUCUUUUCCUAUUCCUUCUAUGUCGCAGGGUUAAAACCAAAAAAUAUUUGUUGUUUUCUCGAUGUUUUCUCACGUUUUCGAUAAAACCCUCUCGUAAAAGUAUUUGAACAAUAUUUUCGGUAAUAUUUGUAGAUGCUAUCCGAACCACCCUUUUUCGAUCCAUAUCAGCAUUUCGUAUAGAAGUUAUUAUCUCAGCAAUAGUGUCCCUGCCCAUGAUGAACUAAAAUUAUUGGGUUCUCCAAAUUUGAUAUAAUCAACGUGUUUUUUACUUAUUUAUUUUUGAAUAUGAUAUGAAUUAUUAAAGAUAUAUGCGUGAGACACAAUCUACUAAUUAAUCUAUUUCUUUCAAAUACCCUACUAGAAACAGAUCACAAUUUCAUUUUAUAAUACCUCGGGAGCUAAUGAAACUAUUUUAGUAAAAUUUAAUUCUCUCAAUUCCCGGGCGAUUGCACCAAAAAUUCGAGUUCCUUUUGGAUUUCCUUCUUGAUCAAUAACAACCGCAGCAUUGUCAUCAUAUCGUAUUAUUAUCCCGUUGUCACGUUUGAGUUCUUUACAGGUACGCACAAUUACAGCCCUGACUACUUCUGAUCUUUCUAGGGGCAUAUUUGGUACUGCUUCUUUGAUCACAGCAACAAUAACGUCACCAAUAUGAGCAUAUCGACGAUUGCUAGCUCCUAUGAUUCGAAUACACAUCAAUUCUCGAGCCCCGCUAUUAUCUGCUACAUUUAAAUGGGUCUGAGGUUGAAUCAUUUUUUUAAUCCGUUAUUUGAAUGCAUUUGAAUGCAAAGGGCGAAGAAAAAAAAAGAAAUAUUUUUGUCCAAAAAAAAAGAAACAUGUGGUUUUGUUUCAUAUCUAAGAGCCCUUUCUACAUUUUUGUCUAUUACAUUACGAAAUAAUGAAUGAAUUGAGUUCGUAUAGGAAUUUUUGAUGCUGCUAGUGAAAUAGCCCUUCUGGCUAUAUUUUCUGUUACUCCACCCAUUUUAUAAAGUAUUCGCACCAGUUUAACAACAGCUACCAAAUAUUCAGGGGAUCCUUUUCCUGAACCCAUACGUGUUUCUGCGGGUCUUAGUGUAACUGGUUUGUCUGGAAAUAUACGUACCCAUAUUUUUCCACCACGACGUGCAUUUCGUGUCAUUGCUCAUCGACCUGCUUCUAUUUGUCGAUAUGUAAUCCAAGCAGGUUCAAGUGCCUGAAGAGCAUAUUUACCGAAAGAAAUAUGAUUACCUCGAUAAGAUAUUACCUUCAUUCUUUCGCUAUGUUGUUUACUGAAUCUGGUUCUUUUGGGGUUAUAAUUGAUGGUUGUUUCUGAAUUACAUCUCUACUAUAGAACCGAACGUAAGAGUUUCUACUCAUCCAGCUCCCCGCGAAUAAAAGGAUUCCAAAAAUUUUAAUUUGAAUUAAGCUAGAAGAGUCAAUCUUAAGUUAAGAUAUACAUGUAUUUAUUGAGUAAUACCUUGAACAUGGGCUUCUUUGAGAUUUCAUUAAAUUUAUUAGUAAUUUUUAUAUCUUGUUUGCAUAGAUAACUAAACAUUUUAGUUUUAUAAAUAGAAAUAUAAAAAAUUGUAUUGUUAUACCAAAUCCUUAUUUUGUCCUUUAUUGUAUUGUCCUAAAUUUUUCAAUAAGAAAAGUUUUCGCGGGCGAAUAUUUACUCUUUCAAUCCCCAUUUCAUUUGUAGGGUUAACUUGUGAUUUCUCAGAUCCCAGAAUAAAUGAAUUAAUCUCUGGUUCGUUCCGCCAUCCCGACCAGUGAAUCAUUAAGAUUCCUUAUACAAUAGAAUCUUUUGCAUUCACAAGUUCCGUCGUUCCCAUCACUUCUGACUUAAUGGUUAGGUCCGAAUUCUACAAUGGAGCUCAGAAUGAAAUUGGUUCUUGAGUCAAUCUUCUCAGUCUUUAUUGGCUCGAAGCUCUUGAUUUUUUGUUAUAUUUCUAUAUUUCUAUAAAGAAGAUUCUUUUUACUAUGGUAUGAAUGCAUAGUGAUGCUUUAUUACACUGCCUUUCAUGAGAUUACUCAUAGACCUUACAUAUUGGAAUUUUAUAUCAUUGGUAUUCUUUUUCUCUCUUUCUCUCAUCCUUCCAUUUAUCCACAUCUUUUAUCUUUAUUUUACUUUACAACUUAGAAUCAGAUUUCAUUUUUUGUUUAUGCAAAAGAUUUUAGUUGCUACAAAUAUAUGACCUAUAUAUUAUAUCUUGACUGGUUCUUUAGAUCCAGAUAAUGCGAAGUGAUGGGUUGGUUAUUAGUUCUAUAGUUUUAGUUCAUACUAUGUGGGCUGGUCUUCUUAAUCCUAACCCUAAAAAAACCAACGAGUCACACACUACAUAUAACAAUUAUAUCAAAUGGUCAAUCAAAUAUUUAUUCAACCGUAUUGAAUUAAGAAUUAGAAAUGUUCCCCUUGAUUGAUUAGAAAAAGACUGAAUUGGUCUUUUUUUGUACAAUCAUUAGACAAAAGGGAAAGACAAGUAGUAAAAUUAUUCCUCUUCUAGAAAUAUCCAAAUUUUGAUGCCCAAUACUCCAUAGAUAGUUUGAACUAUAUAAGAGCAAUAAUCAAUUUUAGCUCAAAUCGUUUGUAGGGGAGCCCUACCUUCUCUGAUCCAUUAGACACGUGCAAUUUCUUUUUCGUCGAUACGCCCCACAAUUUGUAUUUGAAUUCCUUUUGUAUCUGCUUGUUCUGUUAAUUCAAUAGCCUUCUUCAUUGCUUUCCGAAAUGAAACUCUAUUCUUUAAUUGUCCAGCUAUAAAUUCUGUAAGAAUAUUAGGGUUUCCGUAAGGUUUUCCAAUUCUUGUCACAACAAUGUUCAGUUUUUGGUUUACACAAUUAAAUUGUUUUUGUAAGGUUAUUUUUAAUUCUUCAAUUCCGCACAGUCGACUUUCUAUUAAUAAUUUUGGUAAUCCUAUAAAGGUUAUGACCUGGAUCAGAUCGAUUCGUUUUUGAAUCUCUAUACGUGCAAUUCCUUCGACGCCAUAGGACGUUCUCAUAUUCUUUUGUACAUAAUUCUUGAUACAAUCUCUUAUUUUUCGAAUUUCCUGUAAACCUUCAGAAUAAUUUUUUAGUUCUGAAAACCAAAGGGAAUGAUGACCUUGGGUUGUACCCAGUCUAAAACCAAGUGGAUUUAUUUUUUGUCCCAUAAUCCCCAAUUAUUAUACAUAUCAUGAUACGUCAUAGCUGUAGAGUUUUUUUAAUGAAUACAUCUCGACAUAUUCAUCAUCUAAAGAUAUAUCUUUCAUUACAAUAGUUAUAUGACAGGUCGAUCUUUUUAUAGGAAAACUACGUCCUCUAGCUCGAGGUUUCAAUUUCUUCACCGUAGUACCUCCAUUGACUUCGUCUUUACUAAUGACUAAAUUGGUUUCGUUGGAACCCAUAUUGUAACUAGAAUUUGCUGCUACAGAAUAAACCAAUUUCAAAAUGGGAUAACAUGCUCAAUAGGGCAUAAGUUCUAAUAUCAUAAGCAUUUCCUCAUAGGAACGUCCGCGGAUUUGAUCAAUUACUCUUCGUGCUGUGUCGGCAGACAUAGAUAUAUGUUGAACUAAAGCAUAUACUUCCAUUUUUUUCUUCUUUAGCAUAAGGUUUGCCUCCUCCUACUGAAUCAUAAGCAUCUAGAUUUUUUUAUUAAUAUUAAUAUUAACGACGAGAUCUAUUAUCGCUUUUUACAUGUCCUCUACAAUUUAAUGUAGGUGCAAAUUCUCCCAAUUUGUGGCCUACCAUACCAUCCGUUAUAUAAAUAGGAAAAUGCUCUUGUCCAUUAUGGAUAGCAAUAGUAUGACCGAUCAUUGUGGGUAUAAUGGUAGAUGCCCGGGACCAAGUUACUAUUAUUUCUUUUCUACUUUUGUGUUAAGCUUAUCAAUUUUUUUUAAUAAAUGAUUGGCUACAAAGGGAUUUUUUUUUAGUGAACGUGUCACAAGCUUACUCCUAUUUUUUUUUUUUUUUUGUAAAGUUUUUGUAAAAACAAAGAAUUAAAUUCGAUUUUCUCUCCUAUUUACUACGGCGACGAAGAAUCAAAUUAUCACUAUAUUUAUUCCUUUUUCUACUUCUUCUUCCAAGUGCAGGAUAACCCCAAGGGGUUGUGGGUUUUUUUCUACCAAUUGGGGCUCUCCCUUCACCACCCCCAUGGGGAUGGUCUACAGGGUUCAUAACUACUCCGCUUACUACAGGACGCUUACCUAGCCAACGUUUAGAUCCGGCUUUAUCCAAACUUUUCUGGUUCACCCCAACAUUCCCCACUUGUCCGAAUGUUCCUGAGCAGUUUUUGGAUAUCAAACGGACCUCCCCAGAAGGUAAUUUUAAUGUGGCUGAUCUGCCCUCUUUUGCAACCAGUUUUGCUACAGCGCCUGCUGCUCUAGCUAAUUGUCCACCCUUUCCAAGUGUGAUUUCUAUGUUAUGUAUGGCCGUUCCUAAGGGCAUAUUGGUUGAAGUAGAUUCUUCUGUUGAACAAUCAAAACCCCUUCCCAAACUGUAUAAUCUUCUUCUAAAGCAUACGUCUUUCUGGAUCUAGAUAAUGAUAUCUAUACAUAUGGAUCUUAUAUAUAUCAUAGAAUGAAGUACCAUAUGGGUGAAUAUAUAUAUAUGAAUCCAAAUCUUCCGAAUCACUCAUGUUAUGAUAUUCUAUAUCCUGGGUCUUCCCGUUCCAUCAUCUGGCUUAUGUUCUUUAUGUAGCAUUCAAACCGAAUGACUCUAUGAAAUUACGUUGAUACUUCAACAUAUUAUGGGUAGUGUAGGAUACAUCUCUAUUUUUCCCCUGGGGAAUCUUUAGAAUUCCCACUAAACUUUCAAUUCACCUCUAACCAUCAAAUGAAAUGUGAAUAACCCGUCCCCCUCUCUUUGAAAGAAGGAGAGCUUCCGGUUCUGUCGGUGCUUGAAAUAAUUUUGUCUUCUCUAUAUUACUAUAUCUUUAGAGUCAAUAAUUUUAUAUGAGGAACUACUGAACUCAAUCACUUGCUGCUAUUACUCUUCAGUUUUCUGUUGAGGUCUAUCCUGCAGAGGUACUCAAAUUGGAUCAGUGAUCGAUUUUUAGGUUUCGUCAUAAACCAGAUUGGUUAUUUCCAAUCACGUAAAUCAAUAGUUCAAACCGCACUCAAAGGUAGGGCAUUUCCCAUUUUUAUAGGAACUUAUAUACCAAAAAUAAUGGUAUCUCCAAUUAUAGCCCCUCUGGGAUGUAAAAUAUAUCUCUUCUCACCAUCCCCAUAGUCUAUGAGGCAAAUGUAUGCAUUUCGAUUAGGGUCGUAUUCUAUGGUUACGAUUCUAUCAUAUAUGUCUUUUUCAUUCCGUCAAAAAUCGAAUUUAUGGUAUAGACGCUUAUGACCUCCCCCUCUAUGCCUUGCGAUAUUGAUUCCUCUGGCAUUACAACCUUUACCACAACUACGCUGUCCAUAGAUCAAAUUAUUUCGUGGAUUGGAUUUCACUUGACUAUUUACGGUUCAAUUGCGUGUGCUCGGGGAAGAAGUUUUGUAUAAAUGUAUCACCAUGCUAUUAAGUAUUUCUAUUUAAGUUCUUUUCUUUCUAAAAUAUGGAAUAGAAUAACCCGGUUGAAGCGUAAUGAUCAUACAUUUGUAAUGCAUUGUAUGUCCCAUAAUAGGUCCCAUUCUUCUACUCCUUCCCGGAAGUCGAUGACUAUUCAUAGCUAUUACCUUGACACCAAAGAAGAGUUCGACCCAAUGUUUUAUUUCUGUCCUAGUUGAUCCUAAUUCGACAUUAGAAUUAUAUUGAUUUUUCCCCAAUAACUGAAUAUUUUGUAUGUAAAUACUGCAUAUUUGAUUCCAUCCAUAAAUCAAUUUUUUUCCCUAUGAGUUAUAGUCUCAAUAAGAAUACUAGUUCUUACUGUUCAUAUAUUAUGAUAUGAAUAUACCACAUCAAUUCGUUAUGUAUUCAUAUAUUAUGAUAUGAAUAUACCAUAUCAAUUUGUUAUGUAUAGAUGAUGCGAUUCCAUUGAUACUGAGCCAAUUCCAAAUCAAUUCGUUAUGUAUUUAUAUAUUAUGAUAUGAAUGUACCACAUCAAUUCGUUAUGUAUUCAUAUAUUAUGAUAUGAAUAUACCAUAUCAAUUCGUUAUGUAUGGAUGAUGCAAUUCCAUUGAUACAGAGCCAAUUCAAUAGACUUAUUGGAGGGUCCCAUUCACAUGUAUCCAGUAGGAAUUGAACCUACAAAUUCACCAAUUAUGAGUUGGACGCUUUAACCAUUCAGCCAUGGAUGCUUAGCAGGGAUCCUCGUACAUGGUGAAUAACCAAACUCCAAUUGAAAUGACAUAUUUAGGAUGAAUCAAUGCAAUUUAGGAGGAAUCAAUCUAAUGCAAUAUAGGAGGAAUCAAUGAGAGGACAUCAGUUCAAAUCCUGGAUUUUUGAAUUGAGAGAGAUACUAAGAGAGAUCAAGAAUUCUCACCAUUUCUUAGAUUCAUAGAACUAAUUAAAUUCAUUGGGAUCCCUCAUUCACAUUUUUUUCCACAAAGAACGUUUUCUAAAACUCUUUGACCUCCGAAUUUGGAGUAUCCUACUUUCACGCAAUUCACAGGGUUCAACAAGCAAUAGAUAUUUCACGAUCAAGGGUGUAAUACUCUUUGUAGUAACGGUCCUUAUAUAUCGUAUUAAUAAUCAAAAUGUGGUCGAAAGAAAAAAUCUCUAUUUGAUAGGGCUUCUUCCUAUACCUAUGAAUUCCAUUGGAGCCAACAAUGAUACAUUAGAAGAAUCCAUUGGGUCUUCCAAUAUCAAUAGGUUGAUUGUUUCGCUCCUGUAUCUUCCCAAAGAAAAAAGGAUCUCUGAGAGUUGUUUCCUGAAUCUGGAAGAGAGUACUUGGGUUCUCCCAAUAACUAAAAAGUGUAGUAUGCCUGAAUCUAACUGGGGUUCGCGUUGGUGGAGGAACUGGAUCGGAAAAAAGAGGGAUUCUAGUUGUAAGAUAUCUAAUGAAACCGUCGCUGGAAUUGAGAUCUUAUUCAAAGAUAAAGAUCUCAAAUAUCUGGAGUUUCUUUUUAUAUAUUAUAUGGAUUAUCCGAUCCAUAAGGACCAUGAUUGGGAAUUGUUUGAUCGUCUUUCUCUGAGGAAGAGUCAAAAUAGAAUCAACUUGAAUUCGGGACCGCUAUUCAAAAUCUUAGUGAAACACUAGAUUUCUUAUCUUAUGUCUGUAUUUCGUGAAAAAAUACCAAUUGAAGUGGAGGGUUUCUUCAAACAACAAGGGGCUAGGUCAACUAUUCAAUCAAAUGAUAUUGAGCAUGUUUCCCAUCUCUUCUCGAGAAACAAGUGGGCUAUUUCUUUGCAAAACUGUGCUCAAUUUCAUAUGUGGCAAUUCUGCCAAGAUCUCUUCGUUAGUUAGGGUAAGAAUCCGCCCGAAUCGGAUUUUUUGAGGAACGUAUCAAGACAGAAUCAGAGUUGGUUAGAAAAUGUAUGGUUGGUAAACAAGGAUCGGUUUUUUAGCAAGGUACAUAAUGUAUCAUCAAAUAUUCAAUAUGAUUCCACAAGAUCUAGUUUCAUUCAAGUAAUGGAUUCUAGACAACUGAAAGGAUCUUCUGAUCAAUCCAGAGAUCAUUUGGAUUCCAUUAGUAAUGAGGAUUCGGAAUAUCACACAUUGAUUAAUCAAAGAGAGAUUCAACAACAAAAAGAAAGAUCAAUUCUUUGGGAUCCUUCCUUUCUUCAAACGAAAUGAAAAGAGAUAGAAUCAAGCCGAUUCUCAAAAUGCUUUUCUGGAUAUUCCUCAAUGUCCUAUCAAUUGAUGGAACGUGAGAAGCAGAUGAUUAAUCAUCUGUUUCCAGAACAAAUCGAAGAUUUUCUUAGAAAUCCUACAAGAUUCAUUCAUUCUUUUUUCUCUGAUAGAUGGUCAGAACUUCAUAUGGGUUUGAAUCAUACUGAGAGGUCCACUAGAGAUCAGAAAUUGUUGAAGAAACAACAAGACCUUUCCUUUGUCCCUUCCAAGCGAUCGGAAAAUAAAGAAAUGGUUAAUAUAUUCAAGAUAAUUACGUAUUUAUAAAAUACUAUCUCAAUUCAUUCUAUUUCAUCAGAUCUGGGAUGUGAUAUUGUUCCGAAGGAUGAACCAGAUAUAGACAGUUCCAAUAAGAUUUCAUUCUUGAACAAAAAUCUAUUUUUUGAUUUAUUUCAUCUAUUCCAUGACUAGAACAGGGAAGGAUACACGUUACACUACUAUUUUGAAUCAGAAGAGAGAUUUCAAGAAAUGGCAGAUCUAUUCACUUUAUCAAUAACCGAGACGGAUCUGGUGUAUCAUAAGGGAUUUACCUUUUCUAUUGAUUCCUGUGGAUUGGAUCCAAAACAAUUCUUGAAUGAGGCCAGGGAUGAAUUGAAAAAGAAAUCUUUAUUGGUUCUACCUCUUAUUUUUUAUGAAGAGAAUGAAUAUUUUUCUCAAAGGAUUAAAAAAAUGGGUCCGGAUCUCCUGCGGGAAUGAUUUGGAAGAUCUAAAACCAAAAAUAGUGGUAUUUUCUAGCAACAACAUAAUGGAGGCCGUCACUCAAUAUAUAUUGAUCCAAAAUCUGAUUCAAAUCCAAUAUAGUACCUAUGGGUACAUAAGAAAUGUAUUGAAUCGAUUCUUUUUAAUGAAUAGAUGUGAUCGCAACUUCGAAUAUGGAAUUAAAAGGGAUCAAAUAGGAAUGGAUACUCUGAAUCAUAGAACUAUAAUGAAAUAUACAAUCAACCAAUAUUUAUCAAAUUUGAAAAAGAGUCAGAAGAAAUGGUUCGAGCCUCUUAUUUUGAUUUCUCAAAUCGAGAGAUCCAUGAAUCGGGAUCCUGAUGCAUAUAGAUACAAAUGGUCCAAUGGGAGCAAGAAUUUCCAGGAACAUUUGGAACAGUCCAUUUCGGAACAGAAGAGCCAUUUUCAAGUAGUGAUCGAUCGAUAACGUAUUAAUCAAUAUUCAAUUGAUUGGUCUAAGGUUAUCGACAAAAAAUAUUUGUCUAAGCUACUUCGUUUCUUUUUGUCCAAGUCACCUCUUUUUUUUUCCAAGUUGCUUUUAUUUUUGUCUAUGUAAUUUCUUUUUUCUGUGUGAGUUUUGGAAAUAUCCCCAUUACUAGGUCCGAUAUCUAUAUCUAUGAAUUUAAAGGUCCGAAUGAUCAACUCAGCAAUCAGUUGUUAGAAUCAAUAGUUCUUCAAGUUGUUCAUUUCCAAAAAUUGAAACCCUUCUUAUUGGACGAUCAUGAUAUUUCCCAAAAAUCAAAAUUCUUGAUCAAUGGAGGAACAAUAUCACCAUUUUUGUUCAAUAAGAUACCAAAGUGGAUGAUUGACUCAUUCCAUACUAGAAAUAAUCGCAGGAAAUCCUUUGAUAACCCGGAUUCCUAUUUCUCAAUGAUAUUCCACGAUCUAGAUAAAUGGCUGAAUCCCGUGAAAACAUUUCAUAGAAGUUCAUUGAUAUCUUCUUUUUAUAAAGCAAAUCGACUUCGAUUCUUGAAUAAUCCCCAAUACUUCUACUUCUAUUGGAACACAAGAUUCCCCUUUUCUGUGGAAAAGGCCCAUAUCAUUAAUUCUGAUUUUACGUAUGGACAAUUCCUCAAUAUCCUGUUCAUUCACAACAAAAUAUUUUCUUUGUGCGUCGGUAAAAAAAACAUGCUUUUUGGGGGAGAGAUACUAUUUCACCAAUCGAGUCAUAGGUAUCUAACAUAUUCAUACCUAACGAUUUUCCACAAAGUAGUGACGAAACGUAUAACUUGUACAAAUCUUUCAAUUUUCCAAGUUGAUCCGAUCCAUUCAUUCGUACAGCUAUUUACUCAGUCGCAAACAUUUCUAGAACACCUCUAACAGAGGGGUAAAUAGUCAAUUUUGAAAGAACUUAUCAUCAACCUCUUUCAGAUAUGAAUCAAUCUGAUUCAAAAAGGAAAAACUUGCAUCAGUAUCUCAAUUUCAAUUCAAACAUGAGUUUGAUUCACACUCCAUAUUCUAAGAAAGAUUUAUCAUCUGAAAAGAGGAAAAAUCAGAGUCUUUGUCUAAAGAAAUGUGUUGAGAAAGGGCAGAUGUAUAGAACCUUUCAACGAGAUAGUGCUUUCUCAACUCUCUCAAAAUGGAAUCUAUUCCAAACAUAUAUGCCAUGGUUCCUUACUUCGACAGGGUACAAAUAUCUAAAUUUGAUAUUUUUAGAUACUUUUUCAGACCUAUUGCCAAUACUAAGUAGCGGUCAAAAAUUUGUAUCUACUUUUCCUGAUAUUAUGCAUGGAUCAGGUAUAUCAUGGAGAAUUCUCCAAAAAAAAAUUGUUUCUUUUACAAUGGAAUCAAAUAAGUGAGAUCUCGAGUAAGUUUUUACAUAAUCUUCUUUUGUCCAAAGAAAUGAUUCAUCAAAAUAAUGAGUCACCAAUGAUAUUGACACAUCUGAGAUCGCCAAAUGCUCGGGAGUUCAUCUAUUCAAUCCUUUUCCUUCUUCUUGUUGCUGGAUAUCUCCUUCGUACACAUCUUCUCUUUGUUUCUCGGGCCUCUAGUGAGUUAUAGAUAGAGUUCAAAAGGGUCAAAUAUGUGAUGAUUCCAUCAUCUAUGAUUGAGUUGCAAAAACUUCUGGAUAGGUAUCCUAUAUCUGAAUCGAAUUCUUUCUGGUUAAAGAAUCUCUUUCUAGUUGCUUUGGAACAAUUAGGAGAUUAUCUAGAAGAAAUAUGGGGUUCUACUUCUGGCGGCAACAUGCUUGGUCCCGCUUAUGGGGUCAAAUCAAUAUGUUCUAAGA
rnacentral:lncRNA from 1 species